UACGGAGGGGACUAGCGUUGUUCGGAAUUACUGGGCGUAAAGCGCACGUAGGCGGAUUUGUAAGUCAGGGGUGAAAUCCCGGGGGCUCAACCUCGGAACUGCCUUUGAUACUGCAAAUCUCGAGUCCGGAAGAGGUGAGUGGAAUUCCUAGUGUAGAGGUGAAAUUCGUAGAUAUUAGGAAGAACACCAGUGGCGAAGGCGGCUCACUGGUCCGGUACUGACGCUGAGACGCGAAAGCGUGGGGAGCGAACAGG
rnacentral:rRNA from 1 species